CUUCUGACUUUCCGUUUUCGGAUAGCCAACUCUUUUGAUUUUUGGAACUUAUGACUUAUGGCAAGAGAGAAGAAAACUGCAUGACUUUAAAAGAAAACCAGUGAGAUAAAAUCAUAUAAAAUGUAUGAUGAUUCAGGAUGUGGUCAUUUGAGACCUGUUCUGUGGAUGCCCUUAGACAGUGUGUCUACCCAUCACGCCAUCUGAUAUCACUUGCUCUGAGCAUAUUUCUCUCUCAAACUUAAACUACAGAGAGCCUGUGGAUAGAGGAUGAAGAGUGACCUUGGACUAAUUUUCUAGGUCAAAGAUCAUAGGUGAUGUGAAGGAAAUACCAGGGAACUGAUGUUGAAAGAAGUACUUAAUGACGCUUAUGAAUGGACUUAAAUGUGAAAGACUGUUCCAUUGUUUAUCUAAGAUAUAUGAAUUUAUUUAGUAUUUUGAUAUCAUUGAAAAAUACUGUUACAGUUUUUGUACAUCAAAUGAAUUAUUAAACAUAUAAAAUGGUAAUGCUUUUUUUCUCUUACAUUUAAUAAUUUUUUUGAUAGAUUUUUGAAAGAAUACACAUAAUUUCACAUCGCUUCCUUAAG